AAUCUUCCGCAAUGGACGAAAGUCUGACGGAGCAACGCCGCGUGAGUGAUGAAGGUUUUCGGAUCGUCAAACUCUGUUGUUAGGGAAAAACAAGUAUCGGAGUAACUGCCGUUCCCUUUACGGUCCCUAACCAGAAAUCAACGGCUAACUCCUGCCCAGCAGCCGCGGUAAUACGUAGGUGGCAAGCGUUGUCCGGAAUUAUUGGGCGUAAAGCGCGCGCAGGCGGUCUUUUAAGUCUGAUGUGAGAGCCCCCGGCUCAACCGGGGAGGGUCAUUGGAAACUGGGAGACUUGAGUGCAGAAGAGAAGAGUGGAAUUCCACGUGUAGCGGUGAAAUGCGUAGAGAUGUGGAGGAACACCAGUGGCGAAGGCGACUCUUUGGUCUGUAACUGACGCUGAGGCGCGAAAGCGUGGGGAGCAAACAG
rnacentral:rRNA from 1 species